rnacentral:lncRNA from 1 species
AGUGAAGCAAUCAUUUUAUUGUUCGGUUUCAUUAACUGGGACAUGGGAUAACUACAUGUGUCAAGAGCUAGAAAGAGGAAAGCUACUUUUAACAUGCUUAGGUCCUGGCAUUAGAUACUCACCAGAAUUUCUGCCUGAGGAUUGCGGCACUGAAAUCUACCAAAGGUUAUUAUCCUAACCAGACAUGGUGGUGGUGGCUGAGGAGAGGCUGUGUGAUGUUAACUGCAGUUUCUGCUUCGCUGCACUACCUUGUCAUGACAUUAGCGCAUAUUUUACAUUCUGUGAGGGGAAUGCUUCCGUCCUCCUCUCUGCUGCUUAGAAACAGUGAAGAGAUGAGAUCUGACACUUGAAAAUGCUAUAGUGCUGUGACCUUGUCAGGGUAUAAGAUGGUCUUAGUGGAUGCAGAAAAUUCAGCUGCCCCAAGUAUUUUUGCUUUGUCCAGCUGGUGUCCUACCAUCUCCAGUACGAUCUGAAAUACAAAGCUGCUUCCAGACAGCACUGCUUUGUAACUCAUUUGGCUUUACUGGCCCUGUCAGAGUUAAUUGGAUUUGUGACAUGGUCAGAUGUUUACUUCUUGAUUCUGUUGUCCCUUGCCCUACAGGACACAUAUGCCAGGGGAAGCUACAGUUCAUGUAGCAAAUACUAAAAAUCUGAAGAGAGACAUGGACACACUGUCAAAAUUUUUAGGAACUAAAUUUAAGGAAAUGUGUGCUUAAAAUACUUUUUACUAUUACUCUAAUCUAUGCCAUAGCUUGGUCAGGCAUAUAAGCCCAACAAAAUCUUAUUGAAGAUGAAUGAUGUUUUGGGGAAGAAUGCACAUAAAACACAAAUAUGAGGUUACACUUCUAGCAAAAUCUCUUAGCUUUCUUAAGAAUUAGAAAAACAUACAGUGUUUAUUAAAGCCACUGCCUACAGCCAUAAUUUUAUCAUCCUUUCCUUUGUGUAUUAACUUCUUAUGUGUUGUAUACAAGAUGACAGUCUCUGGCUAUAAAGUAGCUCCUGUGCAAUUCACUUUCUAAAUCUUUGCUACUAUUACUAAUGUAAUAUUUUGCUGUAAACAUUUUUAAAUACAGUGAAAAACAGAUCAAUAACUGUGAUAAACAUUAAGCGUUUUAAAACAAAAGCCACAAAAGAAGAGAACUUCAUUUACAUCUACUGCAAAAAGCAUGAGUUUGGG